rnacentral:antisense_RNA from 1 species
UGGCGCAGCUGGAGGACUAGGUGUAAUACGGUCCCAGAAAAACUACAGGACGGACUAACCCUGCUUAUUCCUGUGAAUCAAGAGGUGAUCUUCUGCAGCUUGGAAAAAAAAAAAAGCGAUGGAUGGAGUUUCACUCUUAUCACCCAGGCUGGAGUGCAAUAGCGCAAUCUUGGCUCACUGCAACCUCUGCCUCCUGGGUUCAAGCGAUUCUCCUGGCUGGCCCAGAGUGGUGGCAGUGGAGGCAGGGAGAAGUGUUCACAUUCUGGGUACCUUUGAAGGCCAGCUGCUACCCACCCCCUCGGCUCUGCAAGACACUCCCAGACCUGCCUGUGUCCUAUUCGUCUCCCCUCUGCGGACAGAGGCUCUCCUCAAGACUUUGUUCUGCAAAACCCCCACCACUACCCCUAAGAAGGCAAAAGGGCAACUGAGGCAUGAAGCAGGGGGCACGCACGGGGGAGUCCCACAUUCCUGAUAUGACUCCCCAGGCGUAUCGUGCUGCUUCUGGGGAGCUUGCCAUGGCCUGCCUCCUCCCGGGUU